rnacentral:rRNA from 1 species
UACGAAGGGUGCAAGCGUUAAUCGGAAUUACUGGGCGUAAAGGGUGCGUAGGCGGUUGUUUAAGUCUGUCGUGAAAUCCCCGGGCUCAACCUGGGAAUGGCGAUGGAAACUGGGCAGCUAGAGUGUGUCAGAGGAUGGUGGAAUUCCCGGUGUAGCGGUGAAAUGCGUAGAGAUCGGGAGGAACAUCAGUGGCGAAGGCGUCCAUCUGGGACAACACUGACGCUGAAGCACGAAAGCGUGGGGAGCAAACAGG